rnacentral:rRNA from 1 species
UUUCAACAACGGAUCUCUUGGUUCUGGCAUCGAUGAAGAACGCAGCGAAAUGCGAUAAGUAAUGUGAAUUGCAGAAUUCAGUGAAUCAUCGAAUCUUUGAACGCACAUUGCGCCCGUCAGUAUUCUGGCGGGCAUGCCUGUUCGAGCGUCAUUACGC